rnacentral:rRNA from 1 species
UACGUAGGGUGCAAGCGUUAAUCGGAAUUACUGGGCGUAAAGCGUGCUCAGGCGGUUGUGUAAGAUAGAUGUGAAAUCCCCGGGCUUAACCUGGGAACUGCACUUGUGACUGCAAGGCUGGAGUGCGGCAGAGGGGGAUGGAAUUCCGCGUGUAGCAGUGAAAUGCGUAGAUAUGCGGAGGAACACCGAUGGCGAAGGCAAUCCCCUGGGCCUGCACUGACGCUCAUGCACGAAAGCGUGGGGAGCAAACAGG